AUUAGAUACCCUGGUAGUCCAUGCCGUAAACGAUGAUUACUAGGUGUGGGGGGAUAACCCCCUCCGUGCCGGAGUUAACACAAUAAGUAAUCCACCUGGGGAGUACAACCGCAAGGUUGAAACUCAAAGGAAUUGACGGGGGCCCGCACAAGCAGUGGAGUAUGUGGUUUAAUUCGAAGCAACGCGAAAACCUUACCAGGUCUUGACAUCUAUCGCUAUCCCAAGAGAUUGGGAGUUCCCUUCGGGGACGGUAAGACAGGUGGUGCAUGGUUGUCGUCAGCUCGUGUCGUGAGAUGUUGGGUUAAG
rnacentral:rRNA from 1 species